rnacentral:rRNA from 1 species
UACAGAGGGGGCAAGCGUUGUUCGGAAUUACUGGGCGUAAAGGGCGCGUAGGCGGCCUUCUAAGUCGAACGUGAAAUCCCCGGGCUCAACCCGGGAACUGCGUCCGAUACUGGAAGGCUUGAAUCCGGGAGAGGGAUGCGGAAUUCCAGGUGUAGCGGUGAAAUGCGUAGAUAUCAGGAGGAACACCAAUGGCGAAGGCAGCUCGCUGGGACGGUACUGACGCUGAGGCGCGAAAGCGUGGGGAGCAAACAGG